ensembl:lncRNA
AUGACCGACAUCCUCACUGCCUUGCACGCAUGCCACUGUCGGUGCCACAGGGCGAUUCUCCGCCUGAAGGCAGUGGUUCCACCGUGCCCCUGCGAUCCCUCCCCGCGUGCCAUCGCCUGCUCGGACAGGAGGUGGCAGCAGAUGGCUGCCUUUAGCAUCCAGAGGACCCAGGAGCAGCUCUCGGAGACACCCAGGGUUCUCCACUCUGCAAGGACUGACAGUGUGGUAAAGAGAAGCACUCCAGACUGGAUUUAAUGCUACCAUAUGCUAGACAGAAUGAGAACCCAUACUGCAGGAGAGCAGCCGGUACAUUUCCACGUUAACAGAAGCCUGAUUGCAAAUUACAUUUAGUGUCAACAGCUCAGUUCACUGCACACAGAUGCCAUGGGGGACUGUAAAGUUAGCAAGAUGUGGGGGAGUACGGCUGAAUUUUUUAAAAAGAGCCUUGGCUGAUAGGAUGCCACAGACAUUUGGAGCUGAUGCCACAGAAGAAAGCUGCUGCUGCAUUUGUUCUGCCAGAAAUAAAUAAUAAGAGUAAUGUCAUGAGCUGUUAGUCAAAUUACAAAUUCUUGCUAGGCUGGUGAUUAUGUGGUGAUACAAACAGCAGUAUCGGAACCGUCAAACACUGCUCUUACACCUUGGCAGCCAGCAUAUAAAGUGUGUCAAAGAAGCGUUCUCCCUUUCAAAACAGUUCAGCACAAGACAAAAUGGACUUCUUGUUGGUGCACACCAUGUCUCCUUGGGCUGGCUGCAAAGCACACCUUUCAGCCCUUAGAACAGACUCUGUGCAACCAAAGGCGUGAUGAGACUACAUAACUUGGGCAGAUUUUUGUCUCUGUUCAUGGAUCUGCUCAGAGCAGAUGGACGGUCAGGGCUGUGGCCUCUGCACAAGGCCCAUAUCACAAAGACACACAGAUCAGCUCAUCCUGCUGGGCCUUUUGAUAACUAAACACAGACGCCGUGCUGCAGGAUAAAUGCUCUGCUUCACAUGAAAAAGGUGAGACCUCUUCAUUUCUUCUCUGCCCUACUCAAAGGAAAACAUCUCACAGUUCAGCUGCUUAGAUCAGUGCUGCUAAGUGAAGCAGUCUCUCAAGGCUCCUUGUCCAGCAUGACAUCUGUGUGAGGAAUUCCAACAUUCCUGAAGAAUAAGGAAAAGCUUUCCCCACCCCCACCAUACAGCCUGCAGAAUUCACUAUUACUGAAGGUCACUAAGUCAAACAGUGCAGCUGGGUCAUUUUAUAGCCAUUAAUAAUCGCUGUAGCUCGAAGAAUGAAGAUAAAAGUGAUCUAAAUCCUGCUCUCCAGGACACAAGCCAAUCUUCACCAGAGUCACAAAGGAAUUGCUCCCACACAUGUUGCAUAAGGAACUGCAUUGUCCACCAGGUGCAUGCAGGGGUUCCUUUCACCCCAUCACGUGUUACCAGAAACAGACAGGAAUGUGUCCUGUGCCACACUUCAGUAGUUUCACAGAUGAGUGACUACUGGCCAGGGCUCCAGGUUGCUCAGAGAUGAAGGCAUUCACAUAAUUUCCUAAAACUUAGUAUCAGUGAGGUGGAAAUGGCUCCCAUGUGCUGCCUGGUACAGUUCAGGAAUAAAGUACUGUGGCUCAGCAGUCCCCUGAGGCUCUGGCUUUACAUUUCUGGACAACAACUUCACUGCUAGGCAAAAGACAUUUUUCAGUCUCUUCCUUAAAGCACAUUCCCAGGAAUCAAGCAUCCAAAUGAAGACAGAAGGAGAGCCAGCUUCCCAGGAGAUCUCUUAGUAAAGAGACUCCACACUGCAGGGGGGAAACAGUGCCCCCAAAAUGAACUGGUUUAAAGAGGAGCUUGGGGUUUUGGGCAGUAAGUACAGAAGCACUCACCAGGGGCAGGAUGAGCACUACAGGCAUGUUAGCAGACUGCUCUAUGUCUAGGCCAUUAGAUAGUUUUAAUGGGGAACAAGGAUAGUUUGCAUUGGGCCACUAAACCCCAAGCUUCCCCAAGGAAGGCCUUUUUCCCCCCACUCACAAAGUAUACUAAGUACAUUAGUCACUUGUCUAGGGAUGAUCAAGGACCAAGACAAAGCUCCCAGGCAAGACCUUAACACCACAGCGCACAAGCAGUGAGACAGAGCACACACAUCUUCUGUGAAUCCCAGACAUUCUCAUGCAAAGUCCCAGAACAAAACACAGAAACAAACAUUGUGGGAAGAAGGCUUCCAAGUGCCCCAGGUUGUUUGAACAGUCAGCUAGAAGCUUUACAUGGAAGAAAAUGUUAAGGAGCAGGUAGCGGCUGGGUUGGCCAGAAGUGAGCCACAGAAAUGGUGGCCUUUUGGGUGCCCACAGAACUCAGCAAAUUAAAUCACACACACACAGAAGAUAUGAAAGUGACACCUGGUUCCCAUCUGGAGCUAAAUGUCCUCACUAACAUUGUUUUGUGUUUCCAAGCAUCCAUGCUUCAUCCUAUGAAAGCAAAGAAGCCCUCUGUUUUAAUACAGCUCUUGGUUUCAAUUUUCCACUUUUUUUGUGCAUGUUAAAUAAAUUGUUACAGAUUGGGUUUUCUCAGACUUCCUUAUGAGGCAAUUGACCCCUUUUUAACAUGGAUGGUUUUGUUCUUACAGCACCCCAUUUUUGUGCUGAGCAAGCUAAGAACUAGAAUGAUGCCAACAGCACCUGGGUGCAAUACCAAGUUUAGUAGUCAGCUCUUUCACUCAGUCACAGCACAAUGCUCAGACAUAAUCACAGCUUUCAGAACUCCAGUAAAAUGUCCAGAAGAGAAAUCACCCUGAAGAAUGCUAGCAUUUCCAAGAGCAAGCCUCUGUCCUGAAUUCCAUGGAGAUCUCCCUUGGUAUAUCUUAUCAGUGAAUAAAGAAACUAAGAAGCCUCCAAAAUGGAAGUUCUCCUACUGAUGGCAUCCAUAAUUAUUUCCUGCAGGGAACCAUUCUUCCUCUUCCCAGCCCCAUUCAUCAUCCUCACCUGCAUUGUCAUCACUCUUCCUCGUCUUUCUCCUGCACAGAACUCUGCUAAAGAAAAAAAAAAAAAGUGACUUCAGUUACUUUUGUAGGUUUGAUCUGAAUAUCCAAACAGACAGAGGUGCCAAAGACCUUGGAGCUCAUGUGUUCAUACUGAUAUGGGCAGUACAAUCUUUCCUUAUUUCUGUAAGAAGAGAAGCCUGCAGAAGGGCUCUCCCUAGAUCCCUUGAGUCAGAGAAGAUGUGUUUAUUAUAAGGAAUUGUUGUAUUUGUUUUUUGCUUUUGUGACAUCUACUAAAAAAUGAGAACUGUGUAGCCUAUGUUCAGUUUUUCCAAGCAAGAUGUUAAGAUAUAAAUUUUCUACACUUUGGAACAAGGCUCUGAAAUCUAACUCUAGUGCUGUGGUUGUGAGUACCUGCCAGGUCUUAGCCACAUCCAUCUGACUGACACAUCCUUGGUCCCACAAUAACCCCACUUCAGUUGGCAGAAACAACACCAAAGGCAGACCUGCUCAGCCUCACACAUAUUCCCAUCUAAGUAGGAAAAGUCUCUGGAGGAUCUAUUGGAAGAUUGUUUUAUUAGUAGUAUUUUAUUUGAGAGAGAUAAGAUAUUUGUAAUUGGACAAUACACAGCUUCCCAUACAUACGUGACACAAGACACCUCCUUAACACCACGGGGUGUUAAAUGUGAAAUGCUUUCACCUCUGAAGUUCAAGAUGUUGCUCUAUAGCAUGGAACUUGAAGAGAAUAAUUAAGUUUAUUUUUGCUAUUAGCAAACAAUUCCCAAUCUGUUUUUCCAAAACCACUCAACCAGUGGUUUAGCAGUCAUCUCACAAAUACAUGCUUUCCAAGGUGCAAGCAGUCUACUCAUGCUCCAUCUCUAAGGCAUCUUACAUCUCCAGGGAAAGUCACAUCACCCUAAUAAAAGCCAUCUCUGUGAGGACUAAGCUCAUCUAGUGAUGGAGCAGGACAUUCCUCCUGGGACAGUCUCUGGCCAUACACCAAGACAACAGAGGUACGCUGUCCUUCAAUGCCCUGUGCAUACACUGAGAGCUCUAGACAUAAAUGCAGCUAGCCAGAAAUUCAGUGGACAGCUAAAGGUUAAUCUGCACUUGUUUGAUUGUAAAGCACCUGAGAUAUGACGACAACACAUUGGCACGCUGAAAUAGCAACAUAUUAUUAAGUACCUUCCGUCCCCAAAGGCUAAGACACUUAAAAAAAUAAUAAAGCUAAUGCACAUAAUAGCCUGUGUCUUGUUAUUUAAGAAAUCUCUUCCCGGCAUCGGACAUCGACAGUACGUGUAAAUGCACUUUCUCCAAUAACUAUGCCCAAGGAGCAGCUUGACGGACCGCCAGGCAGCACAAUGACUGUUCUACCUUAGCAACGUACAGAAGAUGACAUGUUCCCUUUAGAACUAAUUGCUUCAUUCAAAAGGAAAAAAAAAACCCACCAAAAAAAAAAAAACGUAAAUAACUUACGUAUAGCAUAUAUUAUACGAAGUUAUACGAUCUGUUCAAAGAAAGACCAUGAGCCUAC